CCUACGGGAGGCAGCAGUGAGGCAUAUUGGUCAAUGGACGGAAGUCUGAACCAGCCAUGACGCGUGCAGGCAGACGGCUCUAUGAGUUGUAAACUGCUUUUGUACAAGGGUAAACCUGAAUAUGUGUAUUCAGCUGACAGUACUAUAAGAAUAAGGAUCGGCUAACUCCGUGCCAGCAGCCGCGGUAAUACGGAGGAUCCAAGCGUUAUCCGGAUUUAUUGGGUUUAAAGGGUGCAUAGGCGGAUUGGUAAGUUAGAGGUGAAAGGUUGGGGCUUAACUGUGGACUUGCAGUUAAUACUGUCGAUCGAGAGAGUAGAUGCGGUAGGCGGAAUGCAUGGUGUAGCGGUGAAAUGCUUAGAGAUCAUACAGAACACCGAUUGCGAAGGCAGCUCACCAGUCUGUAUCUGACGUUGAGGCACGAAAGCGUGGGGAGCAAACAGGAUUAGAUACCCCUGUAGUC
rnacentral:rRNA from 1 species